UACGUAGGGGGCAAGCGUUAUCCGGAUUUACUGGGUGUAAAGGGAGCGUAGACGGCGAUGCAAGUCUGAAGUGAAAACCUGGGGCUCAACCCCAGGAUUGCUUUGGAAACUGUAUUGCUAGAGUACCGGAGGGGUAAGCGGAAUUCCUAGUGUAGCGGUGAAAUGCGUAGAUAUUAGGAGGAACACCGGUGGCGAAGGCGGCUUACUGGACGGCAACUGACGUUGAGGCUCGAAAGCGUGGGGAGCAAAC
rnacentral:rRNA from 1 species